rnacentral:lncRNA from 1 species
AUUUAUUAGGGGAGCAUUCAUAUAUGUAGGUGUAUCUCUCACAAUUGCACUUGGUUCGACCCGGGUAGGAAAAAAAAACUUAUAAUUUUCUAAAAAUUACAAAUAAACCCCAUUCCUUGAAUUUAAAAGCAACUUAUAAUAAAAUUAGUGCAUAAAUAAAAUAAAAUAAUGUCGUCAUAAUGAAGAAGUUAUGGCCUCGCUCGGUCGACAGGGUAAACAAACGCAGACACUAUCGCGUACCGCAUAUAGGAGUGAGCCGCCCCUCCCCUAAGCAGAUAUUAAUCUGGAAACGUGAUUAAAGAUCUUUGACACUGGAAACAAUCAGGUGGGGUACACACACCGUGGGCCAACCAACUGAGAUAUUUCGAAACAGCGUCGGCGAUUUAAAAAAUAGAAAAUAUCUUCACAAAAAUAAACAAUUAAUUAAUUGUGGUUCAAGCAUCGCGUGCCGAGUGAUGGGUCCCACGCCAGGCUGAGAGGUUUCCCAUGUGCAUGAUUUGGGAUUGGCGGAUUUCUGGGCGCACAAGAUCCGAGAGUGCGAGUUAUUAUACAGUGCGGCAGCCCUAUUUUAGAAAUCGUGAUCUUUAAUUUUUGGCCGCCGGCAAUAAGUACAGGAGGCACAAUCAAAAUCAUCAACGGAGACGCACAUAGAGUGAUUAGCUAGAGCCUGGAUUUGUAAUUAUUUUUCCUUUGGUUAAAAAUUAUAAUUAAACAAGGCCAAGCAUUCCCCUCCUUCCUUCAAUUCUACCGCUAUGUAUUUAAUACAUUCUUUUUGGAUCUUGAUUAAAAAGUUAAUUAUUUGUAGCAUUUAUUCAGCACUAUUGAAUUAAUUCUACUUUUUGGAUUGAAUAUAAUUAAAAAAGGAAAAAAAAAAUACAAAAUGACUUGUUUGGAGUAGGAAAGCACGAACAGGCAACUGCAUUAGUUGCUUAUAUGAAAGUUCUAUUUGUGAGUGAGAUGGCAUUCAAGUCAGACUUGAACAAAUGGAAAAUCAUUGAUAAUUUACUGGCGAGCAGAGGGAAAAAUUAUGCGCCUUCUCCAUCGAUAAAAUAUAAAAAUUAUUCACCAUAAUAACUUUGAGAAAUUGUGCAUGCUAUAAACAUAUUUUACUCAUCUUUUAGAAGGUAAAUUCUUUCUUGACUAAUUACUUCUGCAUUUAAAUUAUUCUUCAAGCAUAACAUUGUUAUUAAUUUCUUUCCA